AUACGUAGGUGGCAAGCGUUGUCCGGAUUUACUGGGCGUAAAGGAUGCGUAGGUGGAAACUUAAGUGGGAUGUGAAAUCCCCGGGCUCAACCCGGGAACUGCAUUCCAAACUGGGUUACUUGAGUGCAGGAGAGGAAAGCGGAAUUCCUAGUGUAGCGGUGAAAUGCGUAGAUAUUAGGAAGAACACCAGUGGCGAAGGCGGCUUUCUGGACCGUAACUGACACUGAGGCAUGAAAGCGUGGGGAGC
rnacentral:rRNA from 1 species